GUAGAGUGUACGUUGUACAAGAAUUUACUGAAAGUAUUAAUUUUUCGAUCUAGAAAACUAACUUAUUAAGUUUCUAUAAAAAGAGAUUGGUUUAACGUGGCUAGAUAUCUUGUACAUAAACGUUUAUAAAAUGAAUAGAUAUUCGUACGCGUAUUAGUUUUGUGUAAAUAAUUGUAACCUAAAAAUUUGUUCAAUAAUAGGUAGGGUAAUGCAGUAACCGGACAGGAAGUUAUUCUACAUAUAAAGGAAUGGCACUGCAGCCCUAUCAAUAAAUAACUACCAGACAUAUCACCCUGGUCCCAUUGGCUCAGUCAGGAAACUUUACUAUGAAAUAUGGGAGUCGGUGGUACUUUAUGCGUCCCCGGUAUGAGCCAAAGCGCUGUUGAUCAAGAGGAAUAGAAACAUCUUGCAGAGGGCACAAAGGGCCGCACUUAUGAGAUCGUCUACGGCCUACAGAACUGUGUCGCAUUAACGGGCACAAUGCCAAUUUAUUACAAAGCAAAGCUCCGGACCGAGAUCUUCGAACUAAAUAAGAUAUAUCAACGAGAACAUGAUAAGACCCGGUCUAGAGCAGGAAUUGCUGAAAAUUUUGUGAAAAGGAUGAGGGUAGUUGAAGAACGUAUAGACGACAAGUAGAGGGAUGAAUGGAGUAUGUACAGAGAAGAUAGUUGGACGGAGAAGGUAAUAAAUGACGCUUGUACGUUUAAGAAAUACAAAAGACAUAUUGAUCACUGGAUGAAACUGUUGACUGGACGCGGGAUAUUCAACGUGUACCGUAGGACGAUCAGCAAGGAGGUUCACUCCAGAUGCUGGGAUUGCGACACUGAAGUAGAUGACGCAGAGCAUGCGUUGUUUCACUGCCCUAGGUGGUCAUCGAUAGGACCGAACUGGACAGCUAUAUUGGCGCGACAUUGACGAGAGGAAAUAUUAUUGAGGAGGUAAUUAAGAAAGAGGACAACUGGAAUAAAUUCCAGACACUGUGCAGAAUAAUUAUGAAGGCGAGACAGAAACAGGAGAUGGACGUAAAAGAGAGAAGAAGAAUAGAAACUUACAAAUAUAGUAAUGGAUAAGAUGUAGCGAAGGAGGGAUAGAAGUUAGGACCAACCCUGAAGUAAUGCCUAAAGGCAGUUCCGGGGUUGGUACCUGUACCAUAAGAAGAGCGGAUAGAGGAGAGGUUUUUAUUGGGUAUGGCGACUAUCUGCUGAGUCCCACUUAUCCCAAUGACACGGGUCACUGGGCAUGCGUAAUUUGCAUUUUCCCCUCUUCGCGAAAAUAAAGGCAUAUCACCCUGGUAAGGAACUGCAUGCUUAGCCUUGUCAGUGAUAAAGAAAUUUAUCCUCUUUCCCCUUGACAAGACAGGGGCGAAGAGCCCGAGGAAAGCCCCAGAGAGAGGAUCGCGAAGAGGGGGAAACAAGCUGGCCCCCCCAUAUACAUCGCAAACUUCAGCGGUAACGAUUACGCUGAAUGGACAGAUCGAGGCAAUCCUAUGCGGAGGUGUUGGCCGCGGCCAAGGACAGCGUCUCUCUGGCCGAGGUUGGCAUCAACGCGGUAAAGGUGCGCAAAACAAUUACCGGAAGCGUUGUUCUGGAGGUUUCCGAGGACCAGAAGAGGGAGAAGGCCGCUGCGCUCGCAGCACGGCUGACCCGGACCCUGGAUCCGAGCAAGGUCCGCGUGGCGACCGUCGAGCUGCGGAAGCAAGGGUGACUAGAGUAGACAUUUCGCCCCCUAGAG